UACGGGGGGGGCAAGCGUUGUUCGGAAUUAUUGGGCGUAAAGGGCGCGUAGGCGGCCUGGCAAGUGGAAGGUGAAAUCCCUCGGCUUAACCGAGGAACUGCCCUCCAAACUGCUUGGCUUGAGUCCGGGAGAGGUGAGUGGAAUUCCCAGUGUAGCGGUGAAAUGCGUAGAUAUUGGGAGGAACACCAGUGGCGAAGGCGGCUCACUGGACCGGAACUGACGCUGAGGCGCGAAAGCG
rnacentral:rRNA from 1 species